GCAGGCCUAACACAUGCAAGUCGAGCGGUAGAGAGAAGCUUGCUUCUCUUGAGAGCGGCGGACGGGUGAGUAAUGCCUAGGAAUCUGCCUGGUAGUGGGGGAUAACGUUCGGAAACGGACGCUAAUACCGCAUACGUCCUACGGGAGAAAGCAGGGGACCUUCGGGCCUUGCGCUAUCAGAUGAGCCUAGGUCGGAUUAGCUAGUUGGUGAGGUAAUGGCUCACCAAGGCGACGAUCCGUAACUGGUCUGAGAGGAUGAUCAGUCACACUGGAACUGAGACACGGUCCAGACUCCUACGGGAGGCAGCAGUGGGGAAUAUUGGACAAUGGGCGAAAGCCUGAUCCAGCCAUGCCGCGUGUGUGAAGAAGGUCUUCGGAUUGUAAAGCACUUUAAGUUGGGAGGAAGGGUUGUAGAUUAAUACUCUGCAAUUUUGACGUUACCGACAGAAUAAGCACCGGCUAACUCUGUGCCAGCAGCCGCGGUAAUACAGAGGGUGCAAGCGUUAAUCGGAAUUACUGGGCGUAAAGCGCGCGUAGGUGGUUUGUUAAGUUGGAUGUGAAAUCCCCGGGCUCAACCUGGGAACUGCAUUCAAAACUGACUGACUAGAGUAUGGUAGAGGGUGGGUGGGAAUUUCCUGUGUAGCGGUGAAAUGCGUAGAUAUAGGAAGGAACACCAGUGGCGAAG
rnacentral:rRNA from 1 species